rnacentral:rRNA from 1 species
CCCGCACAAGCGGUGGAGCAUGUGGUUUAAUCGAAGCAACGCGAAGAACCUUACCAGGUCUUGACAUCCCCUGACAACCCGAGAGAUCGGGCGUUCCCCUUCGGGGGGACAGGGUGACAGGUGGUGCAUGGUUGUCGUCAGCUCGUGUCGUGAGAUGUUGGGUUAAGUCCCGCAACGAGCGCAACCCUCGCCUCUAGUUGCCAGCAUUCGGUUGGGCACUCUAGAGGGACUGCCGGCGACAAGUCGGAGGAAGGUGGGGAUGACGUCAAAUCAUCAUGCCCCUUAUGACCUGGGCUACACACGUGCUACAAUGGGCGGUACAAAGGGCUGCGAACCCGCGAGGGGGAGCGAAUCCCAAAAAGCCGCUCCCAGUUCGGAUUGCAGGCUGCAACUCGCCUGCAUGAAGCCGGAAUCGCUAGUAAUCGCGGAUCAGCAUGCCGCGGUGAAUACGUUCCCGGGCCUU